AGUGAACGCUGGCGGUAGGCCUAACACAUGCAAGUCGAACGGCAGCACAGUAAGAGCUUGCUCUUACGGGUGGCGAGUGGCGGACGGGUGAGGAAUACAUCGGAAUCUACUUUUUCGUGGGGGAUAACGUAGGGAAACUUACGCUAAUACCGCAUACGACCUACGGGUGAAAGCAGGGGAUCUUCGGACCUUGCGCGAUUGAAUGAGCCGAUGUCGGAUUAGCUAGUUGGCGGGGUAAAGGCCCACCAAGGCGACGAUCCGUAGCUGGUCUGAGAGGAUGAUCAGCCACACUGGAACUGAGACACGGUCCAGACUCCUACGGGAGGCAGCAGUGGGGAAUAUUGGACAAUGGGCGCAAGGCUGAUCCAGCCAUACCGCGUGGGUGAAGAAGGCCUUCGGGUUGUAAAGCCCUUUUGUUGGGAAAGAAAAGCAGCAGGUUAAUACCCCGCUGUUCUGACGGUACCCAAAGAAUAAGCACCGGCUAACUUCGUG
rnacentral:rRNA from 1 species